ACGGAAGGUCCAGGCGUUAUCCGGAUUUAUUGGGUUUAAAGGGAGCGUAGGCCGCAAGUCAAGCGUGUUGUGAAAUGCAGGGGCUCAACCUCUGGAUUGCAGCGCGAACUGGCAUGCUUGAGUACGCACGAGGUAGGCGGAAUUUGUGGUGUAGCGGUGAAAUGCUUAGAUAUCACGAAGAACUCCUAUUGCGAAGGUGGCUUACUGGAGGGAAACUGACGAUAGAGCACGAAAGUGCGGGUAUCGAACAG
rnacentral:rRNA from 1 species